rnacentral:rRNA from 1 species
GUCUGUAUGAAGUUGUAUGGAGUCUAACCUGCCCAAUGAAGAAAUUUAAAAGGCCGCGGUAUUUUGACUGUGCAAAGGUAGCAUAAUAAUUAGUUUUUUAAUUGGAAACUUGAAUGAAUGGUUGGACAAAGAAAAAGCUGUCUUUAAUAUUUUUUUUGAAUUUUACAUUUAAGUGAAAAGGCUUAAAUAUGUUUAAAGGACGAUAAGACCCUAUAAAUCUUUACAUUUUUGUACAUUUAUACAAUUUAGAUAAAAAUAAUUAAAAUGUUAAAUAAGAUGUUUUAUUGGGGUGAUAAAGAUACAAUUAUAAACUGUCUUAAUAAUAAAACAAAUGUGUUUGGCGAAUAAAAGAUCCUUUAUAAAGAUUAAAAGUUAAAGAUACUUUAGGGAUAACAGCGUAAUUUUUUUUGAGAGUUCCUAUCGAAAAAAAAGUUUGCGACCUCGAUGUUGAAUUAAAAAUUUCCUUGUGGUGCAGAAGUUAUAAAGGAGAGUCUGUUCGACUUUUAAAAUUUU